GAUUUGUUCCCAUCUUUUCUGUCCCUUCCUACCAUGUUAGGACCCAGCUGAUCUUAACAAAGCAGUGUUGUCUUAGAAAUACACCAGCAAGCUAGAAGCUAAUUACUGACUUCAUAUUCUUGAUGGCUGAUUUAAUUAUACAUGUGGUUAAACAAUCUGUGACUAUAUUGAGUAUUCACAAAACUCAAAAUGCUACCCAGCUUUUUUCUUCAAGUGUUUGGAUUUUUCCUUACAAAAGAGCAAGGAAACUUUUGCCGAGGUGACUACAGGUAAUAAUAGCAUUUUUUGAACCCAGCAUUCUAUCGUUAGAACACUUUGUCAGCAGAUUUUGUGUGUAGAGCUGGUUUUCUUUCUAAAAUACUUAGUUUGUAAAGCCUGUUAUGGCUUUCAUGUACCUGUCUUGCUUGGUUUGCUUAGGGGUCAAAUAUAGAAGACGGUCUUUCUGAAACAUGAAAUCCAAGCUUUCCUGACAAUCUGUCAUCCAGUCUGGACAGGGAUGAAUGCUCCCUCCAAACUAGCAGUCAUAUUCAAAUUUAACCUCACACAUUUUCUUCCUGGUGGAGUUGCUGGGUGACAUCCUCCGCUCACUGAGCGGGCUGGGGGCAGGUAUUCACUCAGGGUUAAUGGGAGGGAUAAGCAAGUCUUCACAAGUGUUUGUGAGGUGCCAAACAGCACAGCACAGCCUGCUAUCUGUCUGAGUUAAUUUUUACUAGGUUAAAGAUGUCUUUAGUUUAUAACUGUCUCAUUUCUAGUAAGUGUGCAGAGUUGAGGCAACUGCAAGGAAAAGAACUUGCCAAGUAUGGGUCUUAGUUCUGGGGGCUUUUUGCUUUCAUCACAAAGUGAUUUUUUUUUCUUAUUUUUAAUCUGAUUCUAUUUUGGUUUGAUACAGACUAAAAUGAUGGUGGCUUAUGGAUUUAUUUUUCAGAACAUAAGGGAAAUGGAUUGAAUUACUUUAGAUGGAUUACUGACUUCUAGCAGCAGAAAUGGAAAUGGCACCAUUAUAAGCCAAGCGGCUGUGAAGCAAAGAGAGAAGAAUGUUUAUUUUCCAAGCCACUUGAUCAGUUUUAAGCUAAUUGCUUUCUUGGGAAAUAAAGAGUGAAAAGCAGUCGAGAUUGAUGCAUCUUUGGCAUUUAUAAUAGAAAAGACACCAAGUGGGACAAAUCUUGCAUAUCAUCCUUGGCAAAUUAUUCCUCUGUGGCUUGGCCAUGCAUACAAAUAAGUUACUGGGUGAUAACUUGUCACUACACAGAAAUGGCAAGCAGGAAGACCCAAGAAAGCUGAAACAAGAGGAGCAGAUAAAAUCCCCAACCAGGCAUACCCUGCAAAGCCUGCCUAGUGUGGAAGGACACUGAGUCAUGUACAGCCUUUGUCUGAGAGUUUUGGAGACAGUGAAAGACAGAACUACAGAACAGCAGUAGCUGUAGACUCUGCCAGGUACCUUACCUUACACAAGGAGUGAUCUGUGUCUGAGUGUCUAAUAGCACACCCUAAUACUUGUGGAAAAUAUGUUUCAUUUAAAAAAUCAGUUUUAUUUAUGCUUU